CUAAAAUUUUCUCUCAAAAAUCUCCUUCUCUUCUCACGCGGCGACGCCGUUCUUCUCUCGGGCGGAAACACGAAGAAGCUAGGGUUUCGUCUUGGUGGCCGGUCAAGGGUUUGAUCCAAGAGGUUCUUCCUGUCUUCACGAACCCUCGUCGAAGGGAGCACGGAGGAUGCAAGGAGCCGCUGGAAUUUGAGUUACCCGAACCCUAGAUCCCUCCUUCUCCGGUUGUAAGUCCAAGAACAGCGAUAUAAAGGAAAGGAAAAGAUUUAGCAAGGAAGACGACAAGGUGGUGGUGAUGAAGCAUAUAUUUCAACGUGGUGGACGUAGACGGCGACUAUAGGACCAGACACAUCCAUCAUCUGCCAGUGAACCUAUGCCACCCCCUACUCAGGCAGGACCAUCCCAUGUGUCUUCUCCACCGGCAUCAUAUUCCCCUGCCAGUGUACUUAUGCCACCCCUUCAUCAGCCGGGCCCAUCUCAUGUACCUUCUGCACCGGUUUCAUAUUCGCCGCUGCAAGUAUCAUACCCAGAGCAGUUACCUGUCCACUCAGAUCCUCCUGACUUAGCAAGAAACUCAUUUGCUGAGUUUAGGAAUGAUAGAGCUUCUUUAGUCCUCAUCGGUGAUUCAUUUGAAAAUCCGAUACAAGUUGUUCGAGAAAUAAAUAGAAUCGUGAACAACCAUUGGGGAGGGGAUUCUAUGGCAUAUUCAAGUACUCCACCAGCCACAAAACAACUUUGGUGGAGCGAAUUCAAACGCUUAAAUAAUUGGGACCCGAAUGACGAAAUGGAGAUACAAAGAAUAUUUAAAAAGAAAUGUGGCGAUCACAUUAGACAUGUAUUAAGUCACGCAAAGAAUCGGGGGGAAAAGCCAAACUUCAUCACUGAAAAAAUUGGGAGAGGAUCACUAUAUUUUGGGCAACGGAGGAGAGUAAACAAAGGAGUGACCUGAAUAGAAUGAAUCAAUCUCACAAUUCUAGUGACUCAAGUGCUAUAUAUGUGGGAGGCUCCAUUAACAUAGAUGAGCAUAGACGGAGAAUGGUAAUUUUUUCAUUCUUUCACAAAUUUUUAAUAUAUAUUAAAUUAUUUUAUUAUUUGAAAUAAUGUUUUUUUAGACCAAGGAGAUAGGGAAGGAGCCUUCUUUUAUUGAUAGUUUCACCCGCACUUUUUUUAAAAAAAGAUAACACAUGGAGUGGGGCGAGAGCAAAAGUAGUCAAGGUUGGAAUUAAUAUUUAUUUUAUCUUAAUAUAUGGUUUAAAUUUAAUUAGUUACGUACCAUUAUUGUCUUAAUAUUAUAUGUGUUUCUAUUAUAUCUAAUCAAUAUCGUAUGUGUUUACAAAACAGGAAAAAUAUGACCAACUCGAGCUAGCCCAAACAUGCUCACAAGCUGGUAUCGAUAGUCAGGAGUCUGAGGAGUCUGUUGGUAAUAAUUUGAGUUUAUGGUUAGAGGCCAGUGGAGGACCAAAAGGGGGAAGGAUAUUGGGGAUGAGUUCCUUGAGUAGAACCCAAAGAUUAGUUGGAACUUCUUCCUCCACAUCAGCACUUACGACCCAAAUAAAUACCUUGACUGAUGAGGUUAGCCAUCUGAAGGAAAUAAUAUCGCAAAGAGACCAAGAAAGGGUGCAAAGAGACCUAAAACGGGUUAAUUUGGAGAAAGAUGUUAGAGAUAUGAGCCGACAACAAGAAUUAAUCAUGCAACACCUUCAGUUGAGCUCCGCUCAAAGUCAGAAUCCUCCCAAUGACGACGAUGAUGAUGCCUACGAUGAUAACGAUGAUGGUGGUGAUGGUUUUUGAUGAUUUUAAUAAUGGUUGGUGAGGCGAACUAAAGGUCGGAGAAAAAAGCAAAGGAGAUUUGAUGGGGAGCAAAGCUUUUGUGGCAGACGAAGAUGACUUGAUGUAUUCUUAGUUUAUUUACCUUCUUGGAUGGAUGAUGGACUUAUAAAGUAUUGGGUUGUUGAACUUUGUAUAAUAUUUUCUAGAAGCUUGAACAAGAUGGAUCUUGUAAACUUUGUUGAGAUCUUUAUAUUUGUUGA